GACGAACGCUGGCGGCGUGCUUAACACAUGCAAGUCGAACGGAAAGGCCCUGCUUUUGUGGGGUGCUCGAGUGGCGAACGGGUGAGUAACACGUGCGUAACCUGCCCUUGACUUUGGGAUAACUUCAGGAAACUGGGGCUAAUACCGGAUAGGAGCUCCUGCUGCAUGGUGGGGGUUGGAAAGUUUCGGCGGUUGGGGAUGGACUCGCGGCUUAUCAGCUUGUUGGUGGGGUAGUGGCUUACCAAGGCUUUGACUGGUAGCCGGCCUGAGAGGGUGACCGGCCACAUUGGGACUGAGAUACGGACCAGACUCCUACGGGAGGCAGCAGUGGGGAAUAUUGCACAAUGGGCGGAAGCCUGAUGCAGCAACGCCGCGUGCGGGAUGACGGCCUGCGGGUUGUAAACCGCUUUCGCCUGUGACGAAGCGUGAGUGACGGUAAUGGGUAAAGAAGCACCGGCUAACUACGUG
rnacentral:rRNA from 1 species